GGGGAGAGGCUCAGCUGUGUCCAGUGCGGGACGCCUGGUGUCUCGGCGACCUUUGUCUCCUGCCUGGCGCCUGCACUGGAGCAUGACCCAGCGCUCUGCAGCUGUGUAGACAAAGACGCCCUAGAGGAAUUGGGAUCUGGGUUUUGAAGGAUGUCUAAGAGUUGGAUGCAGAACUUAUACCCAUCAGCUGGCCUGGCCUGGUUUCACAUUUCUGACUGCUCAAGACACUUAAUGGACAAUCUGAGAUCCAUCCAGGGAGACGUGAAAACAGAACCCAGUUGUCCUGGCUCUCUGCUUGCCAGCUAUGUGGUUGUGAGAUUCUCUUCUGUUCUCUGAGCCUUAUUGUUCUCCUCUGCAAAACAGAGUUCGUAAUUCUUGUCCACCUGACUCUGCUGAUGUGAAGAUUUGAGCAGUUAAUAACAUUCAUAGUGU